rnacentral:rRNA from 1 species
GACGAACGCUGGCGGCGUGCCUAAUACAUGCAAGUAGGACGCAGUUGCGAACGGGUGAGUAACGCGUAGGUAACUACCUCUUAGAGGGGGAUAACUAUUGGAAACGAUAGCUAAUACCGCAUACUAGUAGAUGGACCUGCGUUGUGUUAGCUAGUAGGUAGGGUAAUGGCCUACCUAGGCAACGGUACAUAGCCGACCUGGAGGGGGGAACGGCCACACUGGGAACGAGGAACGGCCCAGGCCUCUACGGGAGGGCACCGUUGGGGAUCUUUGGCAAUGGGGGGAACCCUGGCCGCGCCACGCCGCGUGGGGGAAGAAGGUUUUCGGGUCGUAAAGCUCUGUUGUUAAGGAAGCGGUACUUAACCAGAAAGGGACGGCUAACUACGUGCCAGCAGCCGCGGUAAUAC